UACGAAGGGUGCAAGCGUUACUCGGAAUUACUGGGCGUAAAGCGUGCGUAGGUGGUUUGUUAAGUCUGAUGUGAAAGCCCUGGGCUCAACCUGGGAAUUGCAUUGGAUACUGGCAGGCUAGAGUGCGGUAGAGGAUGGCGGAAUUCCCGGUGUAGCAGUGAAAUGCGUAGAGAUCGGGAGGAACAUCUGUGGCGAAGGCGGCCAUCUGGGACGGUACUGACGCUGAGACGCGAAAGCGUGGGGAGCGAACAGG
rnacentral:rRNA from 1 species